rnacentral:rRNA from 1 species
AUUGAACGCUGGCGGCAGGCCUAACACAUGCAAGUCGAGCGGAUGAAGGGAGCUUGCUCCUGGAUUCAGCGGCGGACGGGUGAGUAAUGCCUAGGAAUCUGCCUGGUAGUGGGGGAUAACGUCCGGAAACGGGCGCUAAUACCGCAUACGUCCUGAGGGAGAAAGUGGGGGAUCUUCGGACCUCACGCUAUCAGAUGAGCCUAGGUCGGAUUAGCUAGUUGGUGGGGUAAAGGCCUACCAAGGCGACGAUCCGUAACUGGUCUGAGAGGAUGAUCAGUCACACUGGAACUUGGACACGGUCCAGACUCCUAAGGGAGGCAGGAGUGGGGAAUAUUUGACAAUGGGCGAAAACCUGAUCCAGCCAUGCCGCGUGUGUGAAGAAGGUCUUCGGAUUGUAAAGCACUUUAAGUUGGGAGGAAGGGCAGUAAGUUAAUACCUUGCUGUUUUGACGUUACCAACAGAAUAAGCACCGGCUAACUUCGUG